CUGGGUAUAGGUCAAUUUGGUAGACCGCCGCACUUGGGAUGCGGAAGUUGUAGGUUCAAAUCCUACUUCCCAGA
rnacentral:tRNA from 1 species